rnacentral:rRNA from 1 species
UACAGAGGUCUCAAGCGUUGUUCGGAUUCAUUGGGCGUAAAGGGUGCGUAGGCGGCGCGGUAAGUCGGGUGUGAAAUCUUGGAGCUUAACUCCGAAACUGCAUUCGAUACUGCCGUGCUUGAGGACUGGAGAGGAGACUGGAAUUUACGGUGUAGCGGUGAAAUGCGUAGAUAUCGUAAGGAAGACCAGUGGCGAAGGCGGGUCUCUGGACAGUUCCUGACGCUGAGGCACGAAGGCCAGGGGGAGCAAACGGG